rnacentral:rRNA from 1 species
UACGUAGGUGGCGAGCGUUAUCCGGAAUGAUUGGGCGUAAAGGGUGCGUAGGCGGCCUGCUAAGUCUGGAGUGAAAGGUACCGGCUCAACCGGUACAGGCUCUGGAAACUGGCGGGCUAGAGAGCAGGAGAGGGCGGUGGAACCCCAUGUGUAGCGGUAAAAUGCGUAGAUAUAUGGAAGAACACCAGUGGCGAAGGCGGCCUGCUGGACGGUGACUGACGCUGAGGCUCGAAAGCGUGGGGAGCAAACAGG